GGAUGUGUAUAAAGUGGCGAACGGCUGAGUAACACGUGGGCAACCUGCCCUCUGCACUGGGAUAGCCUCGGGAAACCGAGGUUAAUACCGGAUACUCCAUAUUUGUCGCAAGGCGAAUAUGGGAAAGCUCCGGCGGCAAAGGAUGGGCCCGCGGCCUGUUAGCUAGUUGGUGGGGUAGUGGCCUACCAAGGCAAUGAUGGGUAGCCGGGUUGAGAGACCGACCGGCCAGAUUGGGACUGAGACACGGCCCAGACUCCUACGGGAGGCAGCAGUGGGGAAUCUUGCACAAUGGGCGAAAGCCUGAUGCAGCGACGCCGCGUGCGGGAUGAAGGCCUUCGGGUUGUAAACCGCUUUCAGCAGGGACGAGGCCGCAAGGUGACGGU
rnacentral:rRNA from 1 species